GCAAUCGUCACGGGAGAAUCGGUUAAUACCGAUGCCGAAGGAGCAACCGCCCCGGAAACUCUCAGGCCCCAGGACCGCGACGUGACC
rnacentral:ncRNA from 2 species